GAUGAACGCUGGCGGCGUGCCUAAUACAUGCAAGUCGAGCGAACAGACGAGGAGCUUGCUCCUCUUACGUUAGCGGCGGACGGGUGAGUAACACGUGGAUAACCUACCUAUAAGACUGGGAUAACUUCGGGAAACCGGAGCUAAUACCGGAUAAUAUAUUGAACCGCAUGGUUCAAUAGUGAAAGACGGUUUUGCUGUCACUUAUAGAUGUAUCCGCGCCGCAUUAGCUAGUUGGUAAGGUAACGGCUUACCAAGGCAACGAUGCGUAGCCGACCUGAGAGGGUGAUCGGCCACACUGGAACUGAGACACGGUCCAGACUCCUACGGGAGGCAGCAGUAGGGAAUCUUCCGCAAUGGGCGAAAGCCUGACGGAGCAACGCCGCGUGAGUGAUGAAGGUCUUCGGAUCGUAAAACUCUGUUAUUAGGGAAGAACAAAUGUGUAAGUAACUAUGCACGUCUUGACGGUACCUAAUCAGAAAGCCACGGCUAACUACGUG
rnacentral:rRNA from 1 species